rnacentral:tRNA from 1 species
AUAAAUAUAGUUUAACAAAAACAUUAGAUUGUGAUUCUAAUGAUAGAGGAUUAACCCUCUUAUUUAUC